rnacentral:rRNA from 1 species
GACGAACGCUGGCGGCGUGCUUAACACAUGCAAGUCGAACGGAAAGGCCCUGCUUUUGUGGGGUGCUCGAGUGGCGAACGGGUGAGUACCACGUGAGUAACCUGCCCUUGACUUUGGGAUAACUUCAGGAAACUGGGGCUAAUACCGGAUAGGAGCUCCUGCUGCAUGGUGGGGGUUGGAAAGUUUCGGCGGUUGGGGAUGGACUCGCGGCUUAUCAGCUUGUUGGUGGGGUAGUGGCUUACCAAGGCGUUGACGGGUAGCCGGCCUGAGAGGGUGACCGGCCACAUUGGGACUGAGAUACGGCCCAGACUCCUACGGGAGGCAGCAGUGGGGAAUAUUGCACAAUGGGCGGAAGCCUGAUGCAGCAACGCCGCGUGCGGGAUGACGGCCUUCUGGUUGUAAACCGCUUUCGCCUGUGACGAAGCGUGAGUGACGGUAAUGGGUAAAGAAGCACCGGCUAACUACGUG